rnacentral:misc_RNA from 1 species
AUAAUAAGUGUUUUAUGGCACUUUUUAAAUCCAUAUCCACCUUGUGUGCAAUGUCAGUCGAUCUUCUUCAUGGAGAUCGACCAAACAUCAACCUUUAUCCUUUAACUCUUUGUCUGAAAAAUAUUAUGAAUAAACAAUUCAAAAUA